rnacentral:rRNA from 1 species
GACGAACGCUGGCGGCGUGCUUAACACAUGCAAGUCGAACGGAAAGACCCUGCUUUUGUGGGGUGCUCGAGUGGCGAACGGGUGAGUAACACGUGAGUAACCUGCCCUUGACUUUGGGAUAACUUCAGGAAACUGGGGCUAAUACCGGAUAGGAGCUCCUGCUGCAUGGUGGGGGUUGGAAAGUUUCGGCGGUUGGGGAUGGACUCGCGGCUUAUCAGCUUGUUGGUGGGGUAGUGGCUUACCAAGGCUUUGACGGGUAGCCGGCCUGAGAGGGUGACCGGCCACAUUGGUACUGAGAUACGGCCCAGACUCCUACGGGAGGCAGCAGUGGGGAAUAUUGCACAAUGGGCGGAAGCCUGAUGCAGCAACGCCGCGUGCGGGAUGACGGCCUUCGGGUUGUAAACCGCUUUCGCCUGUGACGAAGCGUGAGUGACGGUAAUGGGUAAAGAAGCACCGGCUAACUACGUG